rnacentral:lncRNA from 1 species
AAUGUACUCCUAUUGAGUUUCACAGAUUUUGCCCUGAGCUCAAAAAGAUGAACUCCCGUGGUUGCUGCUUCUCUUUGGUUAUUGUGUGUGCCUGUCUAACUUUGGUUGCUGGUCUUGAACUCGGAAAAAUGAAAUUGUCGAGAAGAGAUAGCAAUGCGGGUGCUGAUAACCCCUCGACCUGCCCUGAUGAGGACUUCGACGUGGCAACCCUGACGUGCAGGGGCGCAGCACCAGCGCAGGAUCGCCAAGUCCUCACUCCAACAGGCCCAGCGCCACAUCAUAAGGACAAAGAUCAUCACGGUAAAAAGAAGAAGAAAUCACGCUAAAGAGGAAGGAAAAAGGGAAAUAUGACCUGAGAAUCUCUCGAAAUCUUAGAAAUUAUACCUUCAUCCCCUUUGUCUGUUAAGGCUGCAAUACUACCGUGCAAAGGAAGAACGCCGCAUAGUGGAUCGAGUCAAUUAGAGAGGUCGGACAUGAAAUUUUUGACUAAAACUGCAAAUUCAGAGGUUUAUUUUGUUACUUUUUAAAUUACAAGGGGUGUUUUUGAGAGAAAAUUUUACGAGAAAACCAAUGAUACCACUCUUAGAACCUCAAAGGUUUGUAUAAAAGGAGUUAUAAGCGUUUAAAGUUUCCAAAUUUUGUCCGACCUCUCCUAUUGCAGACUUGAUCCACAGUGCGCCGUAUAAACAUUCGAGCAUUGCCAAAUUUCCCGGAUACAACAUGUAUUUUUAACAAAACUUAUGCGUAAUUUUCCUAAUAUUUUAGAUU